GACGAACGCUGGCGGCGUGCUUAACACAUGCAAGUCGAACGGAAAGGCCCUGCUUGCAGGGUACUCGAGUGGCGAACGGGUGAGUAACACGUGGGUGAUCUGCCCUGCACUUCGGGAUAAGCCUGGGAAACUGGGUCUAAUACCGGAUAGGAGCCAUUUUUAGUGUGAUGGUUGGAAAGUUUUUUCGGUGUAGGACGAGCUCGCGGCCUAUCAGCUUGUUGGUGGGGUAAUGGCCUACCAAGGCGGCGACGGGUAGCCGGCCUGAGAGGGUGGACGGCCACAUUGGGACUGAGAUACGGCCCAGACUCCUACGGGAGGCAGCAGUGGGGAAUAUUGCACAAUGGGCGCAAGCCUGAUGCAGCGACGCCGCGUGGGGGAUGACGGCCUUCGGGUUGUAAACUCCUUUCGCUAGGGACGAAGCUUUUUGUGACGGUACCUAGAGAAGAAGCACCGGCUAACUACGUG
rnacentral:rRNA from 1 species